UCACUAUUGCUGAAGAAGCUUAUGUUACCAAGACAAAGAAAAUUGCAGAGGAGAAUGAGUCAUGGCAAUGGCAAACAGCCACCUCUGAUGUCCUAAACUCUGUUAUCAAUAAAAUUCAGCAGCUUAAGGUUCAGCUUGAAUUUAUGGCAAACUUUGAGAAAGCACCAGCUUAACUUGCAGAAUCAUUGGACUUGGAACUCUUGAACUUGAAGCAAAACCUGGCAGAACAUCUUUUGGAGAACAUGAAAAAAUCCAUCUCAUAGAUAGUUAUGAAUCCUCUCAAUCCAACAAAUCAGUCAAUGAGACUUUGAGGCAACUUGAGGUUUCAAAAAGAACUUUAGAGAUCCUAAGGGAUGAUGCUGCAAAAUCUGUACAUAGCUCAAAAAUCCAUAGGUGGACACAGUGCUGGAAUGAAACGUAAUUCAAAGAGAAAAUAGUCACUCAUGAAUUUCAGAGCAGAAUCUCAAGAGAUGGCAAUAAGAAGGUGUAAGUCAGAAGUUUCAGUUACACAAUCAACCUAAAUGACGCUAUUGAUGAGCAAUUUUAAUUGGAAUAAUCAGUAAAUCAAAUCAAUCAUCAGAGAAUAUCUUCGGUCCUAGCAGUUGUAGUAAGAAGUACAAACCAGAAGUCAUGGCCAUUGGCAUCUCCUAUUUCAGUUAUAGAUGCAAUAAUAAGCAACCCAAAGAGCACCACUACUCAGCUAUAAAAGGAGAGGCAUUACAACCAGAAAAAGGGGGUUCACCACACGAAAAUUAAAGAAAACAGAGCAUAUAUGCAGUGCUGUAAGGAUAAACAACACAGUGAAAGAGGCCAAAUCCCCUCUCAAAAUUCUAACACUACAGCACCUUCUUAGUCAGAAUUUCUCAAUCAACCCCACUAAAACUUGUCAUCCUCUCUUUAUCCUACCAUCCCUAAAAAUUCCACGAUAUCAUACAUAUAUCAUAUACACCACACUCAGCA
rnacentral:lncRNA from 1 species